UAGGUCUUCCUCUUCCAGAGCUCUAAUUUGCUUGGACAACUUGACAGCCUAUUUGAGAAGAAUUGAAAGAAAUAGAUUUUUAUGUCCUAAAAUGUCCUAAGCACCCAAACAAGAGAAAAAUGUACCAUGCUUCCGCAGACAUUAAAUCUCUGUUAAGGAUGAAGAGGUUGCUGCCCUAAAGACAGAGAUAGAAGACAUGAGAGACAGGCAGGAUGGAAAAGGAACAAAAGCAGCUGGGGCGUGCAAUGAGAAGCAAAACGAAUUAGAAAGUUCUGCUAAGGACCAAGAGUGGCUCUGGCUCCUGCUGUCUGUCGCCUCCAGGAAGAGUAUCUCCAUGCUCUGCAAGAUGAUUUAGGAUGCAGUAUUUGCUAUGGUCCCAUUUUACAGCUCCUACAACACCAAAGUUGCAGCAUGUAUGUUCAAGUAUACCACAUCUGCUCCUCCAUCUCAGUAGAUGUGCCAGAUUGCAGAGAAUUUCUGUGCUGGAAAGAUCCAUCAAACAGGAGGAUUUUAACCAGCAUGUUGAAGAGGUGUAAUGCUGCUUUUGACCUCAUCACUUCCACGUUAUCACAAGACUUACUGAAAACAAGAUGAAUUCAAAGCAAUGGGGCAGCCCGUUCCCCUCCACAAACGAAGCACAGAUGAUAAACUGAAGUAAUUAUAACAUGAAGGCUGCUAUGAAGAAGAAAUUAAAUAAAAUUCCUCUUCAAAGAAAUCAAAACACACUAAGGCAGUGAAUGUAAGACAGACAAAUGUAGAACCAAAAUAAGCAUAUUUCUUCCCGGGAGACAACUCACAAAGAGGAACUCCUUUUGAUACACUUAAGCUAAUUCAAAAGCAAGAGCAAUAACUGGAUGGACUUUAAGGUCCUUUCCAACCUAAAUCAUUCUGUAAUUCUAUGAUUCUACAUGUUUUGUUUUGUUUUGUUUUUCCUCACAAACACAAGCCUUAUGUUCUCAAAUUUAAUACCAAUUUAAGCGGGUAUGGGUAGUAAUGUUAAUAUCAGGUUUUAAGAGUCCUACAAGAGGUAUAAAAAUGUGCAUGAUGUCCAAGAAUGGAAAGAUUAAUUUCAUUCUGAUAAGAACAGAGAGAUAUUAAUUUUCAAAAGGGGAAUUCAAUUACAGAUAUUUGAAAUGGGAGCCCACCAUUGGAAUGUAGUAGCUCAGAAAGAAAGGCUGAGAUUGAUGUUUCCUUUCCUGAAGCAGUAUAAUUACUACCCCACACUUAGGUUCUCCUUAUCCUUUUUGUUGAUAACAUUGUUCAUGUACUGGUAUUGAAAUCCAGGUUCCCCAGAUGCUGAGUUUGAACCCAGAGAAAUUAGCUCAUCUUUGAGUUGAGCAGUGUGUAACUGCAAGUGACUACAUUGAGCAGUGUGUAACUGCAAGUGACUACUGGGGAUCACCACAGUGUAGCAGUAACUUGAGGACAUCUGUCAUGAAGUCAAAAUAUAACGUACACUCCUCUAACCUUCUUCACAAAUGCUGCUUGGCAAUUAGUUUCUACUCCUGUGUAUUGGCACUGCAAGCCUUUUUCAAAAUUCAAGUCCAGGAGAUUGAAGGAAUUUGAAUUUGAGCUUGAGAUCUAAUUGUGUUUUAAAUGAGUAAUUGUUUGUUUCUUCAGAUAAGAACAAAGCCCAUGUUAAUUUCAGGUAGAGAGCUAUCAACAGAAGCCUAGAUGCUUAGAUGCUGUGUGUCAACCACCUGAAAAUUAGGCAGGCACCCAGCAGGGAAAGACCUACAAGUCCAUUUAUCUCACCAGUGGCAGACACUUUUGUGUGUGAUGACUCCACUGGACAAAACUUGAGGAUGAAGUUCAGGGACCAAAAGGACUCAGGAGUUCGGUGGUUUCUUGGUGUCUCGAGUAGGAACGCGUGGGCACAGGAACUGCAUCUAAGCUUCUCUGGGAGAUGUACUGAAACAAGGAACAAAGAAAAAUUGGCCCCAAAUUCGGUGUUGUUUAUUAAGUCCCCAACCACAGAUCCAGUCAAGCACUGGAAACCUUCUCAGCAUGCAAAAGCAGAGGCUGAAACUACAAGAAUACACUGAAAUACAACAAGAUGUAGAAGGUGGCAAGUGUCAGUUAUGUUGCAUUCAUUCAACUGUUCUUAUCUAUAGUCUUCCUGCAUUUAAUGUGGGUGUUUCUUUUUAUGAACACAUACAUAAUUAGUCUCUGAACAGAGCACACAGUGGCACCUCUGAGGUUGCAGCAUGCUACAUGUGAUUUCAGUUCUUUAACAUUACCGUUAUGAAGCCGAGUGGCAGGAGGCCAGCAAUCGCUAAUCGGGGGACAAUAGAGCUAAUUACAACUAUCUGCAAGAUGAAGAGUCACCAGACAACAACAAUUCUCUUUCAUUACGGCUGAGCCCCAUCCUGAAUUUCAUUUCAAUGCAAUCUGUUCUGAACCGCAAAAAACUGGAAUGCAACAAAGUCCUUUCCAGGGUAGUUCCGUAAGCUACAGCUUAUGGGCUCUUCUCAGCUAUGUAAAGUGCUUUACAUAAACCAAACUGUUAUGUGGGUUCAUUACCAAAUACAACUCUCUAACACUGUCAUACAGACUCAAAUGAUAUGUGGGUUCACUACCCAAUACAACUCUCUCACACUGUCAUAUAAAUGCAUCCUUAUCAAGCUUUAAAGAUUAACAACUUACAUUUGCAUGACCUUUCCUCAGCUGAUCCUCAAACUCUCUUGAUGCUGCCAAACUGAGCAAAAACUAGAUGUUUUUACACAGAUGAGCUGCUCAGCUGAGAUCUACAGGACUUUUUGAGCUCAUAUUCACCAAAGCCUCCACUGGGACGUUGGGGCUAACUAAACACUGAACUCUCUUUUGAUGCAUCAUAGAGGAUUUUCAAGGUUGCCUCAAAUUAUACAGGUCCAACCUUGCUCCUCUCUCUACCUAUUGCAAAAUGAUUCUGGCAUAUAUCAGAUAUUUCCACAUUUAUGUAUGUGUCACACGCAUAAGAGGUUCUUUCUAUAUAUAUAUGAAAUAUUUUUGAAUGUAUUAAUGUAUUAAGAUGUAGCACAUUAAAUUAAAUAUAC
rnacentral:lncRNA from 1 species